GAUGAACGCUGGCGGCGUGCUUAACACAUGCAAGUCGAACGAAGCACUUUUGAUUCUUCGGAAAAGAAAGUGACUGAGUGGCGGACGGGUGAGUAACGCGUGGGUAACCUGCCUUAUACAGGGGGAUAACAGUUGGAAACGACUGCUAAUACCGCAUAAGCCGACAGGGCCGCAUGGCCUGGUUGGAAAGGAUUUAUCGGUAUAAGAUAGACCCGCGUCUGAUUAGCUAGUUGGUGAGGUAAUGGCUCACCAAGGCGACGAUCAGUAGCCGGCUUGAGGGAGUGAACGGCCACAUUGGGACUGAGACACGGCCCAAACUCCUACGGGAGGCAGCAGUGGGGAAUAUUGCACAAUGGGGGAAACCCUGAUGCAGCAACGCCGCGUGAAGGAAGAAGUAUUUCGGUAUGUAAACUUCUAUCAGCAGGAAAGAAAAUGACGGUACCUGACUAAGAAGCCCCGGCUAACUACGUGCCAGCCGCCGCCGUAA
rnacentral:rRNA from 1 species